GGGGUGGGGGGCACAGGAAGUCAAGGUCUGAUGCCCAGCCGGGUGCAGGGACUGAUGGAUAUUGGCCUUGGACCAAAGAUGGAAAUGUUUGGGGCUUUUUGGUUUAGGAAAAAGGGGGUGGGGAUAUAAAGGUUUAGAAAAUAAAUAAUGAUGUAAAGAAAGUGAAUGGAGGUACCUUUUAUCUCUCUCAAAACACCAGAAGCCUGAGUCAGUACAGACAAUAGGAGACACUUCUACACAAAGCAUAGAGUUAAACUUCUAGAUGUGAUCAACAUAUUGUUCAUAGAUUAAGCCAGCAGUGGCUACUAGGGCUCAUCCGCACUGGAAUUUAAUGUGGAUUUGAAGCGGAUUUUGUCUCUGUUUUCCCCGCAGUGCCAAUAUAACAUCCUUCUCAUCAAGUGGCAGCCCACAUUUCCCCCUGCUAAAUUAUGAUUUCCUCAAACCAUGGAUAAUCCGAUAAAGGGAAGAAAAUCCAAUGUAAAACAACAUAUUACCAACUGUAGCACAUUGUAUGAGUCAGCUUUUUUUACAUUCAUGGUAGCAUUUCACUGGGCGCCAUCUAUCGCCACACCCCCUGCUUCCAUUUUGUCUCUGUUAAGGAAAAUUCUGGGUUGAGAGACUACUCAACAGCCCAGCUCCUCAGGGUACAAUUCCCCCGCGGGUCCAUGCGGUCAGUAAAAGAAGGAAAUUCCAGCCAAGCAAUUUGGAGCAAAACAGUAGACUUAGAUCCUUUACUGUUGCGCAACAGGUUCAACAGCAGCAAGUGAACGCAGAGCAUGGGGCGACAUUGGUUUUUAAAACUUUCCCACCAUAUCCCAGAAUACAGUUUGCACAGCAUCAUCAGUACAUCAUUGCUACAUCACUGACAUGUCACAAAAGGGGAGGGCCACACAAUAUUAGCAUAGACAGAUGUGUCAGGGCAACACCCAAGUAUAAGAUUAGCAUAGGCAAACAUGUCUUAAGUACCCACCACCCAAAGUACAAUAGAACUUCCUUUGCAUGUCUGGAGCAAUUGUCACCUCUGGGCAUUUCCUGGGGUAGGAAGUUUGUAUACAUGUCUUCAAGCUUGGGGAAGUGGCAGGAGAAGGAGUCCUUUUUCCAAGGGCAAAAUGGCGUUGGAAUGGAGGAACUUGGCAAAGAGGUUGAUUUUAUAUGAUUCAUAAAGCUAGGUAUUAGGACGGUUCAUUAAAAACUUUUUUUUGAAAAUGCUUGCUCCAAAGGUCUUAUUUUACUACACUAGGGAUUAUCUAGCUAUAUCUGAAAUUUCAUGCAUAUCAGUUAAUAUCUUGAAUUGAAAUUUCAGCCUUCAUGACAUAGGAAAACGGCCAAGUAAACAGCUAUUUUCGUGGAGGAGGGUCAAAACAAAUACCUGUGCACUUACCCGCAAAAGACCUUGGGUUCCCCUAAAUUAUGGUGGGUGGGGAGGUAUUCCCGGAGGGGAGGGGACAACAGGACACAACAUGAAUACAUCCCCAAGCACCACACACACUGAGAUAGAUUUCAGUGGUAUAAAAUCGAAAGCACUCAGGUUUGUCAAUGCGCACACAGGAACACAUUGACACAGCCCCAGGAAGGAAUAAACCCA
rnacentral:lncRNA from 1 species